rnacentral:rRNA from 1 species
CAAUAGCGUAUAUUAAAGUUGUUGCAGUUAAAAAGCUCGUAGUUGGAUUUCUGGUGGGAGCGAUCGGUCUGGCGCUUAGCGCGAGUACUUGCAUCGUCUCCGGCCAUCCUUGGGGAGAGUCUGUCUGGCAUUAAGUUGUCGGGCAGAGGAUCCUCAUCGUUUACUGUGAAAAAAUUAGAGUGUUCAAAGCAGGCUUAUGCCGUUGAAUAUAUUAGCAUGGAAUAAUAAGAUAGGACUUUGGUACUAUUUUGUUGGUUUGCGCACCAAAGUAAUGAUUAAUAGAGACAGGCGGGGCUAUUCGUAUUGCAUUGUCAGAGGUGAAAUUCUUGGAUUUCUGCAAGACGAACUACUGCGAAAGCAUUUAGCAAGGAUGUUUUCAUUAA